GAGAGAGAGAGAGAGAGGAUGAGAAGGGAGGAUGGGGGGGAGGAGUAACAAAAGUGAAGACAAAAACUUGAAAGUGAAAACAAACAUAUUUCAGUUUAAACUAAAAAAAUUUAGUUUUUGUUUUCACUUUUAUUACUCAUCCUUCCUAUCCUCCCCUCUCAUCUUCCCUCUCAAUCCCAUC
rnacentral:miRNA from 1 species